CUACAUAGAUUGCAGUUCUCCUUGGGAACUUCAGCUUUCUGGUGUCUGCUAAAAGGGUAACAUCACAGAAGGACCACAGGAAGAGUUCUCUUUCUGGAUGAAUUUCGUGAAUAAUUUUCAUAUGGGGAGGAAGAAGAAGAAAGAGCACGCUAAUGACCUUUAUGUUUUCAAAGAGGUCUGAGAUUGCUGAGAUUGCCAGGAAACCUGCCACAGGGCUGGCAAAUAAACAAGGAAUACCUAGCAGACCCAUGACUGUUGGAUCAGCUGAUGGAGGCCAAGUCUUAUACCUCAGAGUUCCCGACAUGGCACAAGGACCUUGCAUUUUGGGAGCUAAGUCCACUGACUGGAAUGGGAGCACGGAUAUCUAACUCUCCCAGACUCCUGCCUCCAGAUGCCAAAUUUUAUUCCUGUUGUAACCCCAAGCUGGAUUCCGGCUCAUAUUCUUAGAUGGUUAAAGUGACACAAGAGACUGGAAUCAGUUGUCUGCAGAAAGGAUUUAGUUCUAUUUUAGCACCAAAUGUUAAAUGCUGUCAGUUGUCUCACAUUACUUUUGCUUGUCAGUAAGGAUUCAAUUUAAAUGACAUCAAGAUCUCUGAGUUUAUUGAAACCCACCCAAUAUGGGACUCAAGAUUUACCUCUAGCAAGUAUUCAGUGCUUCAAAAAAGAAGGACAGCAUGUUUAAGGGACUUCUUGCUAAAGUUCUGAGGAGCGAGGUUGGAGUAGGGAAAGGGAUGAAAAAAAGGAAUUAUGAUUUCAGAGAUUUUUUUGUGAGCACUGAGUGUGAGCAUCCAGGAUUUUCAAUAUUUAAUUAAAAACAAACAAACAAACAAACAAAAAACCAUCCAGGAUGACUUAAAUAUGCCUUGAAAUUCCUGUUAUUGGUAAUCUUCAUUUUCCUCUUAGGCACUCAAGAUGACUGUUAAUUACUAGAUAGAUCUAGUAGUGCCAACAGAAUACCAUCAUUAAACAUGAAGUUACCAAUAAUAACAGUCAGUUUCUCAGCAAAACAAUCUAUACUCAUUUUUGUAGAAAGGGCAGUUUUUCUACCUGAUGUACUUUUUCACAGAGUUCAAUUUAUUGGUAAAAAUAUACCAGUAUGGUUAACGAUAAAAUAAAAGGGGAAUUAAAAUGGCUCUCUUCAACAGAACAAUAUUUUGCAAUUUAUACUUCUAGAUAGAUCAGUAUUAUUCCUCUUCCUGAUAUUCCUUUGUGGAUGUGAUGUAUCUGCAAUAGUUUAUUAACUGUCAGUAAACCUAAUUAUGCAAUGCUUACAAUGUCUAAUUUACCUUUACUUUCAGCUAAUUGGUCAAUUAUCUUGAUUUGGGGAAUAAUCAGUUUACAGUGCUGAGCACACAGAUGGGAUUUGACAACGAGAGUACAGAAGUACUGUGUAAAUGGUGGUAUACAGAUUUAUUCGUAACACUUUUCGUGAAGAAACAUUGCAGUGGUGCCUACCAAGUUUCAAUCCUUAGUUGUUAAACAUCAAGGAAGCGUUCAAUCCAUUAAAAAACAAUGUCCUCAAUUUGUAAUUAAAGAGAAAAAAAAAUCACCUCUGCUUGCCAUAUGUUACAAAAUCCAUCGUUUGUGAAAACCCUCUGCCCCCCUAGUCACAGAACUGGGCCAAACCAGCCUGUAAACUGUUGACAAUAGAUUAUAGAAAAACUUCUAUAGAUCAAGUUUAAUCAUAUAACUAUGCCAAACAUAUGUCAGUUUUUCAUCCCUGGAACAGUCUGAAACAAUCCAGAGUUUGCCUAUUACUUUUGCUCUAUGAACCAACCAUGUAGAAUUCCUGAGAGCAGCUGAAUCUUCUUCAGUGGGCACAGUGUCAUUAACAGAAUUGGUUAUUUGAUUUAUCUGAUUACAUGGUAUGCAUACCCAUAGUUACUAUAAAGGAAUGGUAUUAGAUAAAUUCCUGGUAUUACCAUAAGCAAGAGCUCGAUUUUCCACAAUUCACACAUUUUAGCUCUGUGUAAGUCUAGAAAAAUUGAACAUAUUUCUCCUCUCUGUGAUAGUUUCUCUCUCCCACAGUCUUUGAAGAACCAGCAACUGUAAUUGCAACAUUUUAGCUUCAAACAUAUACUAUUGCAUAUUCCCGAAAGUCUCUCACUGUCUAAAAAACUAGCCACUGAAUAUUUUUAUGGUAGUUUGUGCUUGUGUUUGCAUGCCACUUUAGGGAAUGGCUAUUCAUUUUAUACUUCAUCAUUAUUAUUAUAUUUGAUAAUUUAAGAAAUCAGUCAUCUCACCCCUGAGUUUACAAACAGUUUUUGCACAAACAUCUGCUUUUUAUGAUCUACUGCUGGCUAACAACUUUGUAGAGCUGUACAUUGGUAAAAUAAAGUCUGUAUCUGUAU
ensembl:lncRNA